GAGCAAUCCUAAGUAAAGUGGCGCACGGGUGAGUAACACGUGGAUUAUCUACCUUUUAGUGGGGAAUACCUCUGGGAAACCGGAGACAAUACCGCAUAAGCCCGCAAGGGGAAAGCAGCAAUGCGCUGAAAGAGGAGUCCGCGGCCGAUUAGCUAGUUGGCGGGGUAAUGGCCCACCAAGGCGAAGAUCGGUAGCCGGCCUGAGAGGGCACACGGCCACACUGGCACUGAAACACGGGCCAGACUCCUACGGGAGGCAGCAGUGGGGAAUCUUGCACAAUGGGCGAAAGCCUGAUGCAGCGACGCCGCGUGAGCGAUGAAGCCCUUCGGGGUGUAAAGCUCUUUCGACGGGAACGAUAAUGACGGUACCCGGAGAAGAAGCUGCGGCUAACUACGUGCCAGCAGCCGCGGUAAUACGUAGGCAGCGAGCGUUGUUCGGAAUUACUGGGCGUAAAGAGUGUGUAGGCGGUGUUCCCAGUCUGUUGUGAAAUCUCCCGGCUUAACUGGGAGGGUGCAGCGGAAACUAGAAUGCUAGAGGGUGGGAGAGGUAAGCGGAAUUCCUGGUGUAGCGGUGAAAUGCGUAGAUAUCAGGAGGAACACCUGUGGUGUAGACAGCUUACUGGACCACUUCUGACGCUGAGACACGAAAGCGUGGGUAGCAAACAGGAUUAGAUACCCUGGUAGUCCACGCCCUAAACGAUGCAUACUUGGUGUGAGCGAUUCAUUUCGUUCGUGCCGGAGCUAACGCGUU
rnacentral:rRNA from 1 species